rnacentral:rRNA from 1 species
CACGUAGGGGGCGAGCGUUGUCCGGAUUUAUUGGGCGUAAAGAGCUCGUAGGCGGUGUGUCGCGUCGGCCGUGAAAACCUGCAGCUUAACUGUGGGCGUGCGGUCGAUACGGGCAUCACUGGAGUUCGGCAGGGGAGACUGGAAUUCCUGGUGUAGCGGUGAAAUGCGCAGAUAUCAGGAGGAACACCGGUGGCGAAGGCGGGUCUCUGGGCCGAUACUGACGCUGAGGAGCGAAAGCGUGGGGAGCGAACAGG